rnacentral:lncRNA from 1 species
CUUUUGCUUCUCUUUCAGAAUAAAUUCCUAGUGACUUUGAAGAAGUGACAGUAUAUGCUUGAGUAAGAAAAAAAACUUGCAAAUGCAAUGAAUGUAGCAAACAGCUCCUCUAGUAAUACAUUUUUAAAAGAUUGCUUCAGGCAAGCUGAACGAAAAAUUCUCAUCUCAGCCACAUACAAGAUUCUUCCUCUGAUAUUCUGCACUCACUGGAGCUCCGCACAUGAUGAGAAGAAUGGAAGGGGAGAACAGAGAUAAAUCGUGUGCUGGCAUAAGCAGACUUGACUGCUAGAUUUCUUCAGUGAGAUACUGCCCUUGAGAGGUGCUGAGUGCCUCCUUGGACUUGAAGAAUGUCCUGAAUUUCUACUGUCUUCAGUUAGAGGAGAGAGUACUCGGCACCAGGUGGGAUGAAGCAAAGGAGAGCUGAUUUACUGUACAAGAAAAGGACACUGGGAUGUUCUGGCACUUUUGUACUAGAAUCUGGAAUACUACAUGGGCACUUCCUUUUUUCCUUGCUAACAAGACCUGCAGCUGCUUCACCAAGUUGUGGCACAACUAAUCCGCUAAAAUUGGGACAGUAUGUGAAAGUUAAUGAUGGUCAAAUUAGUCAGGAAGAUAAUUAUAUGGCACAAAACCAGACUCUGCUUGUCAUAGAAAAAAACGUGUCUCCUAUCUAAACAGUUUGAUUAGACAAAUGGCAUUCCUUAAUGGAAAAUCUCCAUUCAGCUUAAAUCCAUAGGGUUGAUAUGUAUUACAAUCUUAACAUUAAGAGAGAAAUGGAAAUACAUUUACAUAUAGAGAAGUUAUAAUUUUCAUUCUCAGUAAGUUAAUUUAUUGUGACUUUGGAUAGUAAAUUGUACUUAUACACCAUUAUGGUUAAGUUUUCUCUAACAUGCUCACAAAUACCAGUAUGUAUCAUUAUUUAUAUAGUACGAGCAAUUAACAUCGUACUUGACUUCUUUCAAGAGCUCACAGAGCAAGGACCAAUCCUGCAAAAACAUUCUAUUAAUUUAAUUUGAUCCGGUAGACUCUCAUGGAAGCACUCUUAUGUGUAAGCUGAAACACAUCUGUAAGUCCUGAAGAAUUGAAGACUAAAGCAGACCAACGUAUGACAAGGCACUAGACCAAAGAAUGAGUGUCAGGAAUAUGUGGAGAGUUACUCCAGAACAUGAAUGAAGAAAGAAUACCUUUGAUGAAGUAGAUUUUCAAGGUCAUGAAAGUGUAUACUUCAUAGAGCACAGGAAAGAAAGUAAUACUGAGAAUUAUACAAGAAGUCUGACUCACUGUAAGAGAGCUUGUAUUUCAGCAUACCUAAACCAGAAAUGUUGUUUUCAUUAAAGAACACUGUCUGUUUUAAUGUAUAUACAGAUAGGCUAUAUCCCUCUUGUGCUGUCAAAGUCCUAAACUGGUUGAAAUCACCCAGGAGACUAAGGAGUACAGUGAGUUGGUUCUAUCUAACCCCAUGGCAAGCACACUGUUCCCCUACCCCUAGAGGUUUUUAUCUCGGGCCUUAAUCCAUAUGUAAAAUUCAAAUGUGUCUUUCUCACCAUUUGGCUCCUAUGCCCACUCAGAGAAAGUCACCUACUGUGCAAUUUGAGCUGUCAUGUAUUUCUUCAUUGAAGCUCCUGAGACUCAGGGCCCAGGAGGUGAGAAGUGAGAGCAUCGGUGUUAAUAUGG